rnacentral:siRNA from 1 species
CGGCACUUGCACAUGGGUUA